rnacentral:rRNA from 1 species
AACGAACGCUGGCGGCAGGCUUAACACAUGCAAGUCGAGCGCCCCGCAAGGGGAGCGGCAGACGGGUGAGUAACGCGUGGGAAUCUACCCAUCUCUACGGAAUAACGCAUGGAAACGUGUGCUAAUACCGUAUACGCCCUUCGGGAGAAAGAUUUAUCGGAGAUGGAUGAGCCCGCGUUGGAUUAGCUAGUUGGUGGGGUAAAGGCCUACCAAGGCGACGAUACAUAGCUGGUCUGAGAGGAUGAUCAGCCACACUGGGACUGAGACACGGCCCAGACUCCUACGGGAGGCAGCAGUGGGGAAUAUUGGACAAUGGGCGCAAGCCUGAUCCAGCCAUGCCGCGUGAGUGAUGAAGGCCCUAGGGUUGUAAAGCUCUUUCACCGGUGAAGAUAAUGACGGUAACCGGAGAAGAAGCCCCGGCUAACUUCGUGCCAGCAGCCGCAGUAAUAC